rnacentral:rRNA from 1 species
GAUGAACGCUGGCGGCGUGCCUAAUACAUGCAAGUCGAACGAAGUACUUCGGUACUUAGUGGCGAACGGGUGAGUAAUACGUAAGCAACCUGCCUAUGGGACUGGGAUAACGUUUGGAAACGGACGCUAAUACCGGAUAGGUAGAGAGGAGGCAUCUCUUCUCUAUUAAAGUUUAGAUACACCGAUAGAUGGGCUUACGGCGCAUUAGCUGGUUGGUAGAGGUAACGGCUCACCAAGGCGACGAUCAGUAGCCGACCUGAGAGGGUGAUCGGCCACAUUGGAACUGAGACACGGUCCAAACUCCUACGGGAGGCAGCAGUGGGGAAUAUUGCACAAUGGGCGAAAGCCUGAUGCAGCAACGCCGCGUGAGUGAAGAAGGUCUUCGGAUUGUAAAACUCUGUCCUUGGGGAAGAAGAACUGACGGUACCCUUGGAGGAAGCCCCGGCUAACUACGUG